rnacentral:rRNA from 1 species
AGUGAACGCUGGCGGUAGGCCUAACACAUGCAAGUCGAACGGCAGCACAGUAAGAGCUUGCUCUUACGGGUGGCGAGUGGCGGACGGGUGAGGAAUACAUCGGAAUCUACUUUUUCGUGGGGGAUAACGUAGGGAAACUUACGCUAAUACCGCAUACGACCUACGGGUGAAAGCAGGGGAUCUUCGGACCUUGCGCGAUUGAAUGAGCCGAUGUCGGAUUAGCUAGUUGGCGGGGUAAAGGCCCACCAAGGCGAUGAUCCGUAGCUGGUCUGAGAGGAUGAUCAGCCACACUGGAACUGAGACACGGUCCAGACUCCUACGGGAGGCAGCAGUGGGGAAUAUUGGACAAUGGGCGCAAGCCUGAUCCAGCCAUACCGCGUGGGUGAAGAAGGCCUUCGGGUUGUAAAGCCCUUUUGUUGGAAAAGAAAAGCAGCAGGUUAAUACCCCGCUGUUCUGACGGUACCCAAAGAAUAAGCACCGGCUAACUUCGUG